ACGCGAGCUGGGUUCAGAACGUCGUGAGACAGUUCGGUCCCUAUCUGUUGUGGGCGCAGGAAAUUUGAGGAGAACUGACACUAGUACGAGAGGACCGUGUUGGACAGACCGCUGGUUUAUCAGUUGUUCCGCCAGGGGCAUAGCUGAGUAUCUAAGUCUGGAAAGGAUAAGUGCUGAAAGCAUCUAAGUACGAAGCCAACUUCAAGAUUAGAUUUCCCUGAAGGGUCGUUGCAGACGACGACGUAGAUAGGUUGCAGAUGUAAAGGCGGUAACGUCAAAGUCGAGCAAUACUAAUCACCCGAGACUUUCCGC
rnacentral:rRNA from 1 species